CCUACGGGCGGCAGCAGUAGGGAAUAUUGCUCAAUGGGGGCAACCCUGAACCAGCAACGCCGCGUGGAGGAUGACGGCUUUCGGAUUGUAAACCUCUUUUUUUAGAGAGGAUAAUGACGGUACGUAACGAAUAUGCACCGGCUAACUCCGUGCCAGCAGCCGCGGUAAUACGGAGGGUGCAAGCGUUAUUCGGAAUCACUGGGCGUAAAGAGCGCGUAGGCGGGAUAGCAAGUCAGAUGUGAAAUCCUAUGGCUUAACCGUAGAACUGCAUUUGAAACUGUGAUUCUAGAGUGUGGGAGAGGUAGGUGGAAUUCGUGGUGUAGGGGUAAAAUGCGUAGAGAUCAAGAAGAAUACUCAUUGCGAAGGCGGCCUGCUGGAGCGUAACUGACGCUGAUGCGCGAAGGCGUGGGGAUCGAACAGGAUUAGAUACCCGAGUAGUC
rnacentral:rRNA from 1 species